CCAAGUGAAGCCUUUGCCUCUCCUUGCCUAAGUUUCUCUCUUUCCAUUAAGACUCUACUUGAGACACCGGAGAGAUGGCUCAGAAGAGCGGGUAGUACUUGCCCUUGA
ensembl:miRNA Mir6413 microRNA 6413